rnacentral:rRNA from 1 species
UUACAUCNGCAGUCAUCUUCGUGAUAGNGUGUGGAUGGCAUCACCUGCCCAGAUGCCCGCUUGGACAUCCUCCAAAACCUGGUGGCUAAUACACGGUCGACCCAGUCUACCACACAUUGUUCGGCAAGCGGUCCACGCCUGCUUCACAGCGGUGGAUUGCGCCCAGCUGCUGAGAAGACCAGCGCCUGGAAACUGGCAGUGUGUCGAGGCUGACUCAGGCUGGUCCCUGCUCCAGGACGGUUGCGCUGGCAGAGUGGUGGCUUCACGGCCACAGCAUUGCUUGAUCACACNAACUUCUGACCUAUCAGCCUCGACUGUGGUGCAGUGGACCACAGUGGCUUUCACGGGUAACGGAGAAUCAGGGUUCGAUUCCGGAGAGGGAGCCUGAGAAACGGCUACCACUACCAAGGUGGGCAGCAGGCACGCAAAUUGCCCAAUGCUGAGACAUUUCUGGUGAGGCAGCGACGAACUGCAGCAAUUCCGCCUGUCCUCUGUGACCAGUGGAACUUGUAAUGGAUGCUAUCCAAACACAGUGAUGAGUAUCAACUGGAGGGCAAGUCUGGUGCCAGCAGCUGCGGUAAUUCCAGCUCCAAGAGCGUAUACUAACAUUGCUGCUGUUAAAACACUUGUAGUCSGCUGCUGGGUGCAGGUCUGCUGGGUGGCCAGUGGGACAGCUUGGCCUUGGGCCUUCGGGCCUGGGGUCUGCUGGCCUUGCUAGAACUCAACCCCCAGCGGUAUGUCCCUGCACCCGAUCUUCAAUGAUGGUUCAAAACUGCUCCUGCUCCAAGUCUCCUUCAGUGGGGGCCGCUGCGGUUGCAUGCCCAAAGCUNGUGUGCCUGACGCCAUGGGGGGCACAGCCCUGCGCUGUGCAUUGCCCCCAGUCCACCACCGGAGUCAACCAUCGCUGUCACCGUGGAAAACUCAGUGUGCUCAAAGCAUCCUUGUGGCUGGAUGCCCGUCCAUGGAAUGUCAAAGCAUCGACCUGAUGUGGCUAUGGAGUUGUGCUGGCCUUGGUGCUCAUCCAGGGGAACGUGGUGCUGUCCCCCUGCCAUGUUGGAGCCUCGCUGCCUCGGUGGUGGGGUUUCCAGUGGCAGGGUGGUGCACGCACCGAUCGGCCAUGAUGGGACUGCUCGGGGUGAAAGAUAUUGCAGCGCCAGAGGNGAAAUUCUUAGACCGCUGCCAGAUCAACUGCAGCGAAGGCGUUCUGCAAGUGCAUGUUCGUCGAUCAAGAAUGAGAGUGUGGGGAGCAAAGAUGAUCAGACACCGUCGUAGUCCACAACUGUAAACCAUGCCAGCUCGGUGUUGAUGGUGCAAGUACACGGACACCAUCAGCGCCACGCCCCCUGCAACGAGAAAUCCCAAGCCUGUGGGUUCAGGGGGGAGUACUGUCGCAAGGCUGAAACUUAAAGGAAUUGACGGAAUGGCACCNCAAGGNGUGGAGUAUGCGGCUUAAUUUGACUCAACACGGGGAAUGUUACCAGGUCAGGACGUUGCUGGGAUGGACAGAUUGAGAGCUCUUUCUUGAUCCUUCGGAUGGUGGUGCAUGGCCGCUCCUGAUUGGUGGAGUGAUUUGUCUGGUUGAUUCCGAUAACGAGUGAGAUAUCUGCCUCCCAAUAGCCCCUGCCUCGCAUUUGGUAGGGCUGGGCCUGGUGCUACCACCGGGGGUUCGCCCUUGGCUGGUUACCAUGACCGCCCGAGAGGCCAGGGUUCAGCUUCUCUGAGGUGCUGUGUACGCUGCCAAGUGCACGCAUGCUAGAGCCAACAGCAGGUCUGUGAUGCUCCCAGAUGUCCUGGGCCGCACGCGCACUACAUUGGCCCAGUGAAUGUGUCUUUGCACUCGCUCGUCGAGNCCNGCNCAGAAGUGGGUGGGAAACCCCUGGAAACUGUGCCGUACUGNGNNUAGAUGCUUUGNNNCNGUCUGCCUUGAACGAGGAAUGCCUAGUAGGCGUGGGUCAUCAGCCCACACCGAUGUCAC